UAGCUACAGGCUUAACACAUGCAAGUCGACGUGCAGCAUUUUAGUUUGCUUGCAAACUGAAGAUGGCGACCGGCGCACGGGUGAGUAACACGUAUCCAACCUGCCGAUAACUCCGGGAUAGCCUUUCGAAAGAAAGAUUAAUACCGGAUAGCAUACGAAUAUCGCAUGAUAUUUUUAUUAAAGAAUUUCGGUUAUCGAUGGGGAUGCGUUCCAUUAGUUUGUUGGCGGGGUAACGGCCCACCAAGACUACGAUGGAUAGGGGUUCUGAGAGGAAGGUCCCCCACAUUGGAACUGAGACACGGUCCAAACUCCUACGGGAGGCAGCAGUGAGGAAUAUUGGUCAAUGGGCGCGAGCCUGAACCAGCCAAGUAGCGUGAAGGAUGAAGGCUCUAUGGGUCGUAAACUUCUUUUAUAUGGGAAUAAAGUUUUCCACGUGUGGAAUUUUGUAUGUACCAUAUGAAUAAGGAUCGGCUAACUCCGUGCCAGCAGCCGCGGUAAUACGGAGGAUCCGAGCGUUAUCCGGAUUUAUUGGGUUUAAAGGGAGCGUAGGUGGAUUGUUAAGUCAGUUGUGAAAGUUUGCGGCUCAACCGUAAAAUUGCAGUUGAAACUGGCAGUCUUGAGUACAGUAGAGGUGGGCGGAAUUCGUGGUGUAGCGGUGAAAUGCUUAGAUAUCACGAAGAACUCCGAUUGCGAAGGCAGCUCACUAGACUGUCACUGACACUGAUGCUCGAAAGUGUGGGUAUCAAACAGGAUUAGAUACCCUGGUAGUCCACACAGUAAACGAUGAAUACUCGCUGUUUGCGAUAUACAGUAAGCGGCCAAGCGAAAGCAUUAAGUAUUCCACCUGGGGAGUACGCCGGCAACGGUGAAACUCAAAGGAAUUGACGGGGGCCCGCACAAGCGGAGGAACAUGUGGUUUAAUUCGAUGAUACGCGAGGAACCUUACCCGGGCUUAAAUUGCAACAGAAUAUAUUGGAAACAGUAUAGCCGUAAGGCUGUUGUGAAGGUGCUGCAUGGUUGUCGUCAGCUCGUGCCGUGAGGUGUCGGCUUAAGUGCCAUAACGAGCGCAACCCUUAUCUUUAGUUACUAACAGGUUAUGCUGAGGACUCUAGAGAGACUGCCGUCGUAAGAUGUGAGGAAGGUGGGGAUGACGUCAAAUCAGCACGGCCCUUACGUCCGGGGCUACACACGUGUUACAAUGGGGGGUACAGAAGGCGGCUACCUGGUGACAGGAUGCUAAUCCCAAAAACCUCUCUCAGUUCGGAUCGAAGUCUGCAACCCGACUUCGUGAAGCUGGAUUCGCUAGUAAUCGCGCAUCAGCCAUGGCGCGGUGAAUACGUUCCCGGGCCUUGUACACACCGCCCGUCAAGCCAUGAAAGCCGGGGGUACCUGAAGUACGUAACCGCAAGGAGCGUCCUAGGGUAAAACUGGUAAUUG
rnacentral:rRNA from 1 species